rnacentral:rRNA from 1 species
GAUUCGCCCUUGUGCCAGCAGCCGCGAGUAAUACGGAGGAUCCAAGCGUUAUCCGGAUUUAUUGGGUUUAAAGGGUGCGCAGGCGGAAGAUUAAGUCGGCGGUGAAAUUUUGCAGCUCAACUGUAAAAGUGCCAUCGAUACUGGUUUUCUUGAGUGUGGAUGAAGUAGGCGGAAUUUGUGGUGUAGCGGUGAAAUGCAUAGAUAUCACGAGGAACUCCGAUUGCGCAGGCAGCUUACUAGGCCAUAACUGACGCUCAGGCACGAAGGCGUGGGGAUCAAACAGGAUUAGAUACCCUGGUAGUCCACGCAGUAAACGAUGAUUACUCGCUGUUUGCGAUACACAGUAAGCGGCUUAGCGAAAGCGUUAAGUAAUCCACCUGGGGAGUACGUUCGCAAGAAUGAAACUCAAAGGAAUUGACGGGGGCCCGCACAAGCGGAGGAACAUGUGGUUUAAUUCGAUGAUACGCGAGGAACCUUACCCGGGCUUGAAAUGCAUCUGACAGGAGCAGAGACGCUCUCUCCCUUCGGGGCAGAUGUGUAGGUGCUGCAUGGUUGUCGUCAGCUCGUGCCGUGAGGUGUCGGCUUAAGUGCCAUAACGAGCGCAACCCUCAUCAUUAGUUGCCAUCAGGUAAAGCUGGGGACUCUAGUGAGACUGCCAUCGUAAGAUGAGAGGAAGGUGGGGAUGACGUCAAAUCAGCACGGCCCUUACGUCCGGGGCGACACACGUGUUACAAUGGGUGGUACAAAGGGCAGCUACAUGGCGACAUGAUGCUAAUCUCCAAAACCACUCUCAGUUCGGAUCGAAGUCUGCAACUCGACUUCGUGAAGCUGGAUUCGCUAGUAAUCGCGCAUCAGCCACGGCGCGGUGAAUACGUUCCCGGGCC